rnacentral:lncRNA from 1 species
UUUUCUGCUCUUUAGUCGGGUUGUUGUCUCUUUGACACAUUCCCCAUUUCUAUUCUCAAUUUUAUUUAUGCAGAUUUGUUAAAUGGGAUAAAGUGGCUGCCUAAUAAAAGUAUGUUAAUGUGACAGAAUUUUAAGUUUAACAACCUUUUAUACUUUGUUUAUUAAAGUCUUAGCUCAUUAAGGACACCAUUAUAUCAUCAGUAUUAAGGAGAAGUGGUGAGAUAAUGGUACAUUCCAUGCUUGAUUGAAACAAAACUGUAAAUUUU